AACAGUCUUGUUCACUGCACGUUUCUAGAAAUUACGAUCCCCAAAGCUCACAGCCUGGGAUCACAGGCGCCCACCCGCUUGUACGUCCUCGGAAUUCGAGAGCACGGAGCCGAAGCAGUGUGGAAAGGAAAGCGCCUACAACUCCCAGAGUGCCGCGCGGGAGCGUCCCGCCGUCCGCCCCGCCGCCGAGGGCGCCGCGCUCAGCGCGUUCCGGCCCCGCCCGCCCGGCUGCCCCUCGGCCUCGCCCUCUGCGGGGCGGCCCGACCUGCCCUUCACGGCCGCUGUGCUCGCUGAGGUCGCCGGGGGCUGGAGGCGCCGCCCGGCCCCGCUCGGAGGGGGUCGCUACUCGCCUCCACUCCCCCAGCUCCCCAGGGACUCAGCCGCGGUGCCGCUGCCGCGGGGGCCCCGGCGGGCGAGCUGUUGGAGGGAGGAGGCGGACAGCAAGGAAGAGGAGGAACAACAUGCGACUCUUCCUCCGAGAGAAAUAGGCUCUGCCCUAGAGAAAAGACCGUUUUAGGUGGGGCCACUAGGCCCCUCCAGUCCCCGCACUCGUCCCGCCUCUGUCCUGGCCGCGGUGAAGGGAACACUCUCAUCCUUCGAUGUCUCUGGAGGCGUGUGCGGGGCAAAGCCCUGCCCGGACGCUGCUGCCGAGUCAGGGAGGGUGGACCACACGGGGCCCAGUGGUCCCAGAUGCUGCUCCCUCAGACCUGGGGCCUAUUCGGGGGCGAUCCUUUGCAGUUUUGAAACUUCUGGUCCCUCUCCUGCUUUCCGCAGACAUUGUUACUAGACGUCAUAGUUGACGUUGAGUGCUGGAGCAGCUCUCAUAUGCCGAAACCUCCAGAUUCAGAGACGGGAAGAAGCUGGGCGCCCGCUGUCAGCACCCAAGUCUAGUGGAACUGGGCAAGCCAGGGCAGGAGGGGCUCUCAUCGCUGAGGAGUCCUUAGGAUUUCCCUCCAGCUCACAUCCUACUAGAGCUCAAACGAUCACUGAGCGCAAACAAUCACUGAGCGCACACUCAGUGCCAGGCGCUGAGGGGACACAUGCUGCCCUGGUCUCAUGAGCUCUCCAGUCCAGCAAGAAGACAACUGAGUGAGUAAAUAUCUUCAGAGAAUGCUAAGUACGAAGAAGAACGUAAGCAGGGUGAUGCAGCAGAGCGCGUGGAGAUUACGGGUCGCCAGAGAAGGGCUCUUUCAAGAGGCGACGUGGCGUAGGACCUGAGUGAAGAGAAAGAGCGUGCGUGUGGAGAGCAGGGGACAGAAUGUUCCGCACAGAAGGAGUAGGUGUGAACACUCUGGAGUACAGUGAGCUUGAUGUGUGUUCCAGCGACGGGACCAGGGUGGCUGGAGCACAGUGAGGAAGACAGGGACGGAGUUCCCUUUGGUUAAGUCACUUCUCUCUGAAUUCCAAUUUUCUUAAUUGUAAAAUGGGGAUAAUUUUACCUAUAUUAAUCAGUGUCUAAUUAGGAAAGAAAAAGCCACCCUAGUUAUUUCAAACAGAGGGAAUCUAAUACAAGGCGUUGUUUGCAGAGGUGUUGGGAGGGCAGGAGAAGCCAGGGGGCAAUAAGGACACCCACAGACCAGUCCCUGGUGGGGACUGGCCCCUCAGGCCGGAGGAGCAAAAGGAGAAGUAGUGCUUCCCAGAAACCGUGCUUCCUGCUGCCUGAGCAGGAGCCAGAGCUGCACUUGCUGGGGGCGCUGCUGACAUGCAGCUGCUGCCACUACUGUGGCCUGAGGUGCCCACAGAAGCCCAGCCUGGGCUGGCUUUCCCGCCCUCCCAUCUUCCGAACCACUGCCAGUGCCUCCCACCGUAGUCAGCCCUGGAGGUCUGGGAACCGUAGUUCACGAGCUGCCAGCCCUGGCUGCAGAGAAGAGUCUAGAAAGAUAAGUGGGAUGAAGGCAGCAGACACCAUUCCCACACCAGCCACCCUGCAGGACCGUUCUGAGGAGCAGAAAUGCAUGUGUACUCGACAAGUCAUGCCUGUUCUUCUGCUUCAUAGCAACAGUAGGCGUUUGGGAAAGGCACAUCCUCCGAAAACAUCUUUGGUAUAAUAUUUCUAUAGAAAGGUUUGAACUUAUGAUUAAAAGCAUCAAAAAUGAGCAUUUUAAAAAUGGAAUUUUAAUUCUGAAUGGGUAAUAUAUUCACAUGGUAUAAAACUCAAAUUACAAAACAAUAUGCAGUGAAGAUAAGGUUCCCUUGUCCUGUCUUCGUGUUCCCUGGUCCUCAGCCCUGGGCCACAUGGUGCUGCGCUCUGCAUCCUCUGCAGCUGAUCACACACAGGGUCGCUGCCAGCACACGUCUGGUCCGUCCACACGGUCCGGGACACUCCGUGUUCAGAGGCCCUGGCUGUGUCAGCCAGUCCCGCAGUGGCUUCUCCUGUCUCAGAGACCUGCAGGAAUGCGCCGGCACUUGCUGCGGGCCUGUCCCGAGGAGAGCCGCUGCGUCAGAGGGCAGGGCACGUGUGCUUCUCAUGAAUCCUGUCGAGCUGCCCCCACUCCCACCACCACACAGGACAGUGCCUCUUGCCCUGCAGCUUUGCCAGCAAGACGUUCAUGACCUCCCAGCCAAAGCCCCCAACGUUGAGGGGCAGAGACAGGCCUCCUGCUGCAGCCCAUCUGGCUUCCCGGCCUGCAGACACCAUGGCAGGAUAGAAUGAGUUAUGCCACUGUAUUUCGAGGUGGCUCAUUACACAGCAAUAAAAUGUGGAAACAACCCUUCCUAGAA